UUUAAAUCCUUUAACGAGGAACCAUUGGAGGGCAAGUCUGGUGCCAGCAGCCGCGGUAACUCCAGCUCCAAUAGCGUAUAUUAAAGUUGUUGCGGUUAAAAAGCUCGUAGUCGGAUGUCUGUCUUCGGCCGGGCGGCGCCGCUCUGAAACAAGGGUGUUGCGUUUCACGCUCUGGGAGCCCGGGUGUCAAAGCCCGACUCUCUUUACGGUCGGACAACAUCGCCGGAGUGGUGGUCGGUGAUUUGUGGUUGUAUCGGUUUUUUUUCUCUCGACGGCUUCGCGGCUUGAGUGAGGAAGAGAUCGUUGACUCGAAUCGCUCCACCCAGUCAAUCGUUCGGGGUGCCCUUCACCGGGUGUCUCGGGCGGCCGGCAACGUUUACUUUGAACAAAUUAGAGUGCUCAAAGCAGGUGUAUCCCAACGCCUGAAUAUCGCAGCAUGGAAUGAUGGAAUAGGACCUCGGUCCGAUUUUGCUGGUCUUUUACUUUUGGACCCGAGGUAAUGGUCAAUAGAGACGGACGGGGGCAUUCGUACUGC
rnacentral:rRNA from 1 species